CCACUUAAUCUCAUAUUUGUGGCCUUUGUUCACUAAACACACGAGAUCCUUUAGCCACAUCACCGAAUUUAUGAUGGUCUUUCUUUUUUAGGAUGCGGCUGAUUUCGGCAUGCCGAACUCCUUGGCCAACACAGACACAUGCACACUUGAUUCAUAUGCCACGAUCAAACCUUUCUCAAAUUCAAUAGUUUUGCGCACUAUUUUCCUUUUUUUCAGCAGCUUUACUACUUCCACUUGCUUUCUUUGGUGCCAUGCAGAAAUAAUAACAGUCCAAUUUGCGUCGAUCUCAACAAACACGUCUGCUUUAAAAAAAAUCUUUAUUGAAUACGUCUGCUCACAAUGGACGCUCAAUCUUAAAAAAAAACAUCGAUUGAACACAUCUGCUCACAACAGAGGCGUCACUUCUUCGUCAACCCAAGGAAACGUCACUUCCUCGUGCAAGGAAUUUGAAUGCCGCAUUCAAGUGCGCCCAGUAUGGUCGAGAACCGAAUUUCGGCCAUAAUGCGAGGCAUAAAAAAAUAUAUUUUUGGUCAAAAACCGAUUUGGUCGAGAAUAGAGACGUUCGAAAACCGAGGUUGACAUGAUGACGGAAAGGCGGCCCAGCCACUGGCAAAGGACAAAUGUUGGAGCGCCAAUGUUUACUCCUCUGUUCAUUAUUACAGAUGAUUGUAGUAUUUAUUUAAAAAUAUACUAAUAAUUAUUUAAAUAUACCAUGACGUACCUUGCAUAACUGUGUGAACCAAUAUUUCACAAUUAGUGUACAUUUUUCAUUCUUAGGCCCUACCCCAAUGAGCGGCGGACAAUUGUGAGUGAUUUCAAAGGCAGCGUGGCAAAGUGUUGUGGUUCAUCAGGGUUUACUCAAGGUCGCAAAUGCGCACCUGUACUUUGUUUGUCACAAGGAAAUUUUAAACCUUCUCAAAAUGUCUUCGCGACAAGGAAAAAACAAACAAAAAAACAUUCGCGAGCGAAUAUUCGGUAAACAGUUGCGACCUUCAAUGAACCCUGACAUGAACGUGGAUUUUUCUGCCCCCUCAGUGGGAUAGGGGCCUUACUCUACUCUCAUAACAUGCGCUGAAUGAUAUCAGCCAGGGAUGGAGUUGGGUCAGCUGCUAAAAUAAAAAAUAAAUAAAUAAAAUACUGCUUUGUGGAUAUGGGGUAAAAGAUGAGGAGACAAAUGAGAGUGAUGUCUCCUUCACUCUCUAGACCAGGGGUGGGCAAUUAUUUUCCCGGGGGGGCCAAAUGAGAAGCAGAAAUUAUUGGCCGGGCCAAAAGUUAGAAAUAGAAAUGAAAGAAGAUAGCACAAUGUCUUUGUAUGCCAGUAAUAAUGUAACAUUCUCCUCCACCAUCACACUCAGCACCGGUUCUCCUCAAGGAUGUGUACCGAGCCCCCUGUUGUUCACGCUCUACACAUUUGACUGCUCUCCGACUCUUAUUAGCGGUCCAGUUUGCGGAAAGUUUUUAACAUCAUAACAAUCAAACCAUUCUAGGAAAUGUUCAUUUAGUCAAGCCACAAGCAAUUCACUCUGAGCAUGGAAAUUGCCAGAAUCGGACUGAGUAAGAAUCGUUUCCUUGUUUUUCAAAGUCUCUUAGAUUUGAGUCUUUCCGACUCCAGGCGUCUCCUGAAUGUUUCGUACUUUGUUAACUGCUUCGUUUAAUCAGAUACAUAUCACUUUCCCUUCCAUGGUCAUUACUCUCUUCCUCUUUCUUCGUCUUCCCCUCCCUCCCUGUGCUCUGCAACUUGAAGUAACUGCGCCACCUGGUGUUGAAAUACCUGUCAUUACUAGUCCAAACGAAAUGAAAGCAAUCAAACCUUAA